GAGGUAGGAGAUGUCAUUGAAAGAGCUAAAUAGUUGUCAGUUUCAGUUCAGUUGAAGUUCAGUUAAAGGUCCUGAUGGUGACAGCUGUGCAGAGAAAAUAAAGUGACUGCUAAUGAUGAAAACAGAAAAAUAUCAUGGAACAGUAUUGAUAUGUGACAUACAAAAAAAAAUCUUUACAAGGAACCAUUUUUUGCUGCAACAAGGCUAUGGAAUGAAACUGCCUUUCUUUCAGGAUCUGGAACCUGGCCUGUCUUUCUUUCAGCAAUACAAAGAUGAAAUAGCUGCAGUUGGAGUGGAAGUGAAGGGCGUUCCUUUGAAAAGGGGCGGGAUUACCACUGAUGUGAACCAAUCACAUGAGGGAGACUAUUGCCCGGUGGUGUAAGGAUGUUAGGGCAAUAGUUCAAUCUAUUUUUGGUCUUACUAUGAGGUUUUAACCAGUCACAGGCCUGAAGUACUAAUUCAUAUAUAUAAUGUUAUUUUAACAUUACUGGGAAAUGUGUAGCAGUGUAUAGGAAUUGAGUAAUUACUGUGGGCUUGCCCACCCCUGUGCAUGGUUUGUAUUAUUUUGUAUUUGUUGUAUUAUUAUGUAUUAUGUUUGGCAGGACGAGCGAGGUGCUGUCCGCCAUUAUUUGUUAUUGUUUUGUAUUUUAAAAUACUUUGUGAAAAUGCGUGACUGUCAGCUAGUAAUUAUUGAAUUGGCUGAGAGUCAUGCAUCUUUAGUAAUUGAUAGCUAGUUAAUCCCUCAGUCACCACUAUAAGAACUUGCAACUUGAGUGUUCAUGAGUGGAGAACGGGAGUAGAAAGGGGAGGUAAACAGAAAUAUCUAUAAAGUAAACAAUUGCUACGCAUGCUAGUUAAAACUAGCACGAUACUUGUUUGUUCUUUUUUUCUGUUUGUUUGUUUUGGCGCUUGUGCCUUUUGUUUCGUAAAGUCUUUGUUUUGUUAAAUCUUUUAGUUUAAUAAAAGCUGAGUGCUAUUGCGUCCCAGU